rnacentral:rRNA from 1 species
AGAGUGAACGCUGGCGGCGUGCUUAACACAUGCAAGUCGAGCGAAUUUCAGCAGCGUAUCGCUGAAGUUAGCGGCAGACGGGUGAGUAAUACUUGGGCGAUCUGCCCUCGAGAGGGAAACAACCUGCCGAAAGGCGGGCUAAUGUCCCAUAAGACCACAGGAAUUCCUGUUCCAGGGGUCAAAGCUCCGCAAGGGGCGCUUGAGGAGGAGCCCGAGUCCUAUCAUGGUAGUUGGUGAGGUAACGGCUCACCAAGCCUUUGACGGGUAGCCGGCCUGAAAGGUGAUCGGCACACUGGCACUGAGACACGGGCCAGACU